UUGCCUUAGUAGCGGCGAGCGAAGCGGCAACAGCUCAAAUUUGAAAUCUGGCUACUUUGUAGUUCGAGUUGUAAUUUGUAGAGGAUGCUUUUGGUGAGGUGCCUUCCGAGUUCCCUGGAACGGGACGCCAGAGAGGGUGAGAGCCCCGUACGGUUGGAUACCAAACCUUUGUAUAGCUCCUUCAACGAGUCGAGUAGUUUGGGAAUGCUGCUCUAAAUGGGAGGUAUAUCUCUUCUAAAGCUAAAUACCGGCUAGAGACCGAUAGCGCACAAGUAGAGUGAUCGAAAGAUGAAAAGCACUUUGAAAAGAGAGUUAAACAGCACGUGAAAUUGUUGAAAGGGAAGCGCCUAUGACCAGACUUGUUUCUGUCAGUUUUGCUCGUUCUCGGACUUGUUUACUCUGUCAGUACAGGCCAACAUCAGUUUGUUGUUUGGGAGAAAGGCUUAGGGAAUGUGGCUCUUUCGGGAGUGUUAUAGCCCUUUGCAUAAUACCAUUCGGCAGACUGAGGACCGCGCUUCGGCAAGGAUGUUGGCGUAAUGGUCAUCAGCGACCCGUCUUGAAACACGGACCAAGGAGUCAACCUUAUGUGCGAGUGUUUGGGUGUAAAACCCCAGCGCGUAAUGAACGUGAACGUAGGUGAGAGCUUCGGCGCAUCAUCGACCGAUUCUGAUGUUCUCGGAUGGAUUUGAGUAAGAGCAUAUAGGGUUGGACCCGAAAGAAGGUGAACUAUGCUUGUAUAGGGUGAAGCCAGAGGAAACUCUGGUGGAGGCUCGCAGCGGUUCUGACGUGCAAAUCGAUCGUCAAAUAUGAGCAUGGGGGCGAAAGACUAAUCGAACCUUCUAGUAGCUGGUUCCAGCCGAGU
rnacentral:rRNA from 1 species